CCUACGGGUGGCAGCAGUGAGGAAUAUUGGUCAAUGGCCGGAAGGCUGAACCAGCCAUGCCACGUGAAGGUCAGUGCCCUAUGGGCGUUAAACUUCUUUUGUGCGGGAGCAAUAAUGGUCACGUGUGGCCAGACGAGAGAACCGUACGAAUAAGCAUCGGCUAACUCCGUGCCAGCAGCCGCGGUAAUACGGGGGAUGCAAGCGUUAUCCGGAUUUAUUGGGUUUAAAGGGUGCGUAGGCUGUGAGGUAAGUCAGCGUGGAAAUGCCCCCGCUCAACGGGGUGAAGUGCCAUUGAUACUGCCUUGCUGGAAUGCGGAUGCCGUGGGAGGAAUGUGUGGUGUAGCGGUGAAAUGCAUAGAUAUCACACAGAACACCGAUUGCGAAGGCAUCUCACGAAUCCGCGAUUGACGCUGAUGCACGAAAGCGUGGGUAUCAAACAGGAUUAGACACCCGGGUAGUC
rnacentral:rRNA from 1 species